rnacentral:SRP_RNA from 1 species
GCUGGGUGUGGUGGCACGUGCCUGUAGUCCCAGCUACUCGGGAGGCAGAGGCAGGAGAAUUGUUUGAACCCGGGAGGCGGAGGUUGCAGUGAGCCAAGAUUGUGCCACUGCACUCCAGCCUGGCGAGAGAAUGAGACUCCGUCUCAAAAAAAAAAAGAAAAAAAAUGUAGGGAAGUUUAUGAUUUGUAAAUCAAACCAGGAUGCUUGAAGAUGAACCUUGUGGGUUUUUUUGUUUUUGUUUUUUUUUAAGAGACGGAGUCUCGCUCUGUCACCUAGGCUGGAGUGCAGUGGCACGAUCUCGGCUCACUGCAACCUCCGCCUCCCAGGUUCAUGCAAUUCUCCUGCCCCUC